rnacentral:rRNA from 1 species
GACGAACGCUGGCGGCGUGCUUAACACAUGCAAGUCGAACGAAAGGGCGCUGCUUUUGUGUCGUUCUCGUUUGGCGAACGCGUGAGUAACACGUGAGUAACCUGCCCUUGACUUUGUGAUAACUUCAGGAAACUGGGGCUAAUACCGGAGAUGAUCUUUUGCAGCGCGGUGUGGGUUGGAAAGUUUCGGCGGUGGGGGAUGGUCUCGCGGCUUAUGAGCUUCUUUGUGUGGUAGGUACUUUCCAAGGUUACGACGGCUAGGCGGCAUGGGAGAGUUACCGGGCACAUGGGGACUGAGAUACGGACCAGACUGCUACGGGAGGCAGCAGUGGGGAAUAUUGCAGAAUGGGCGGAAGUGUGAUGCAGCAACGCCGCGAGCGGGAUGCUGGCUUACGGGGUGUGAACAGAUUUGGACUGUGACGAGGCGUGAGUGACGGUAAUGGGUCAAGAAGCAACGGCUAACUACGUG